CUACUUUCUUCCAAACGACGACCAUCGACUUCUUAGGGUUCAUGUGUUCUUCGAGAUAAUCGACAAUGGAGUUUCGGGAGAGUUAUCUGAGACGAAUCUUCAUGAGAAUCUCUGGAUCGAGAUGUGUUCGUGUCCUUUCGUCUGAGUUUCUUCUCCCCAUAACCGUUACGGCCAGAUGCAUUGAUUGAUUGGCAUUAACGACCUUAAAUCCUUCGACCUACUCCAAGAAAGAUUCCUCAUUCAAAGCAUCUCUCCUCUCUUCUCAACCUAAACAGGCUAUAUAAUGUCUGUGGAAUGCAUGGGUAUCAAUCUCGGAGAUAGACCAUUUUAUCACUCUGAAACGAAUCAGGUUGCUCUUGCAGAGGCAGAAACUGAAAGUAGCUUCCAUCUUGAAGGAGCAGAUGGGUUACCUAGAAGAAUGGUCUCUUAUGGAUAGAGAUCAUUCAGUUUCUUUGUUAGGAGCAAUUGAAGCCUUGAAAGCCAGCACGCUUCGUUUUCCAGUUAUUGAAAAAGCUGUGGUUGAUAUUCUAGAUCUCAAGCAUAUUGUUAGUUUGGCUGUUGUGCACGGUAUGGCAUCUUCCAUAUUCUCUCGCUGAUAUCAAAGGUAGAUGAAAUGAAUUCAGUAAUGGCGGAAAUGAUGCAUAUCACUGCACAAGAAACAGUCUUGCUCAAACAAUGUGAAGGAUUCUUAUCAGUAGCAGCAGCUAUGUAUGUUAAAAUAGUUGCAGAUUGACCAACUGGAAGAAGAAUAGGUUAAGGACUGUAGAAUGAAGACACACAUAAUACAACUAUGCCGGAAACUGACUUCACAACUGUAGAAACUGAUGGGUUUUCCAUGACUUGAUUUCCAAAGUUUUGUUUCAAGUUUUCAAUUUCAAUAAUUAAUACCAUUUAGAACAA